GUCAAGUGACUGCAUACUGAUUUCAAAGCAUGCCCUAUGUAUGGUUGUGGAGUAGGCUGUAUCUCCACCAACGUCAUUGGCAUUGUUUUCAAGCUGCAGUUAAGAAAUCUUAGAGGAGGUGGCAUAGAUAUCCUGCUUAGGGCUGAGAAUGCAACAGUCAGCCCUGAAGUCCCAUCAUAGUAGCUUUGGAGACUGUCUAGGGAAGCUCCUCUGAGUAUGCCAUUCAGUAUGUCCAAGAGUGGAGCCUAGUCCUUUCUGCAGUCAUGCUUUUAUUACUUCUGAGACUCUGUGGCUGAAUCCUGAGACUCAAGCUGGCCAAAGGACCUCUGGGAAAACCGGGUAGUGUCUGAUAUGAAAUCUCAUUUCCACUACCACAUUUUCUGUCUGUUAAUUUUUCAAAGAGAGCCUCACUCAGAUGAUGAAGCCUGCUUGAUUUGGGGGUGAUGAGUAAUCUGGCCACAGCCCCUGUGACGACAAGUCUGUGAGGUUUUGGAGCAGCACUGUGCACCACAUUCAAAUCAGAACACUCAGGUUUCCUUCACAAUAUCAAUGUGGUAGCGGCUGGAAAGAAAUAUUCUAAAAUU
rnacentral:lncRNA from 1 species